ACUUGGAGAGAAUGCCUUGCAGUGUGGGCAAUGUCGUCUUCAUCUUCUUCAUCUUCCCUUUCUUUCUCUCUUUCAGAAGUUAGUUAAGAUAGCUCCAAUCUCUCCACCUACUAUUUUUCCACUAUUUAGCAAUACCACAACAAAUUACAUUGAAACAUUUUAUAGUCUCAUUCUUUUUCUUUUUAAUUCAAUCAAUACACUGUUAUUUUCAUUUUUUUUUUCUUUUGAAUUUCUUGAGAGAAAUUUCGAAAAUGCCUCUAGUUAGAGCUGAAGUAAGGAACGAGUAUCGGCUUGGUAAGCCGGAGCUUUACAAGGAAGCUAUUAGGGAAGAUCCUAAAGCUGUUCUCGAUGGCGUCGUCGUUGCCGGUCUAGUCGGGAUCUUACGGCAAUUAGGCGACCUAGCUGAAUUUGCAGCUGAGGUUUUUCAUGGAUUACAAGAGCAAGUAAUGAGCACAGCUUCUAGAAGUCAUAAAUUGACAGUUCGUGUGCAGCGGAUUGAAGCCGCGCUUCCGCCCCUUGAGAAGGCUGUUCUUUCCCAAACAAGUCAUAUACACUUUGCCUACACAGCUGGUUCCCAGUGGCAUCCUCGCAUGCUCAAUGAGAAAAAUCAUUUCAUCUCCAAUGACUUGCCACGUUUUAUUAUGGAUUCCUAUGAAGUUUGUCGUGACCCUCCACCUCUGCACUUGCUUGACAAAUUUGAUGCUGGUGGCCCUGGAUCUUGUUUGAAGAGAUAUUCAGAUCCAACUUACUUCAAGAAAGCAUCAGGUAUCUCCAUAGAAGAAGAUGCUGAGAAAGACCCAAGAAAUAGGAAGACUCGUAAAAGCAAGAAAAGAAGAUCGUCUCACAGGAGUAGCAAACUAUCACGUGGUGCAUCAUUAUUGAAUCAUAGUGGCAGAAUGCAGUUUACUUCUCCGGUUGAUGAUGGGCGAAUUUCUUCCUCGCAAACUGCAUCUACAGUUGACAUGGCACUGAAAUCUGAAGUGGGAGAGCAUUCCAGUUCAUUUGAUUCAAGAACUGGCUCUGGAUAUAAUGAAUCUGUUUCUGAACUGGGUUCAUCCAUGCUUCCUGAGGAACACGAACCCAAGGAACUUUCUUCAAGGUUGAUGCAUGAAACUGAUACCCUUGGUUCAGAUUUUCCUGUUCAACAAACUCGGGUUAUAGAUGAUAACUUUUCAGUUAGUUCAUCACAAGAGCAGAUUUCUCCAAGUCCAUCUUAUUUAACGUGGGAUGAAAAAGCAGAAAUAGUGGAGUCCAAAGCAGGAAAUUGGGACAGAGGUGAAGUUCCAGAGAUGAACUUUGACGUAGAUGUGCAGGAAACUGGAGUUGCCAAUAUUGGAGAUGGUGACCAAAUGGAUAUCCCGUCCAAUCACACGGAUUCUGUCCGAUCAAGUUCUAUUGAGAACCAAAAUUACGAAAUUGAAAGUGAACCAGAAUAUUACAUGGAUGCACUGAACACAAUAGAAUCAGAAUCUGAAAAUGAUAUAGGGUGCCAGUGCCAUACAAAACGAAAAGUGGAACAGUGGUCUGAAAAAGAUGUUGAAUGCCAAACAAAAUGCGAAGUGGAGCAGAAUGAUGGUGCUAGCCAUGUUAACGAUAAGAACAGAGAAGAUGGGAUACUGGCGGUUGCAGAUGAUAAUGCAGACCAUCAUCAAUCUAUAAUUGAAUCCUCUGCCUCAUCCAAUAUCAUUUCAAGCAAUGAGAUCUCCAUGAGUUUACCUGAUCCAGUUCCCUCAGCGAAUUUUGCCAGUGAGCAGAUGUUGCAAAUCUUAGGGAAAUCUUCUGAUCCUGACAAUUUAUCCCAUUCUGGUUUAUACAUGAGUGAUGAAAUUCAUGAAAAUUCACAAGUGGAAUCUGUCAUCAGUAAUCCAUUUGAAUCCUCUGCCUCAUCCAAUAUCAUUUUAAGCGAUGAGAUCUCCACGAGUUUACCUGAUCCAGUUUCCUCGCAGAAUUUUGCCAGUGAACAUAUGUUGCAAAUCUCAGGGAAAUCUUCUGAUACUGACAAUUUACCCUGUACUGAUUUAUACAUGAGUGAUGAAAUUCAAAAAAAUUCACAAGGGGAAUCUGUCAUCAAUGAUCCAUUUGAAUCCUCUGCCUCAUCCAAUAUCAUUACAAGCAAUGGGAUCUCCACAAGUUUACCUGAUCCAAUUUCCUCACAGAAUUUUGCCAGUGAGCAGAUGCUGCAAAUCUCAGGGAAAUCUUCUGAUCCUGACAAUUUUCCCUAUACUGAUUUAUACAUGAGUGGUGAAAUUCAUAAAAAUUCACAAGUGGAAUCUGUCAUUAGUGAUCCAUUUGAAUCCUCUGCCUCAUCCAAUAUCAUUUCAAGCAAUGGGAUCUCCACGAGUUUACCUGAUCCAGUUGCCUCACAGAAUUUUGCCAGUGAACAUAUGUUGCAAAUCUCAGGGAAAUCUUCUGAUACUGACAAUUUACCCUGUACUGAUUUAUACAUGAGUGAUGAAAUUCAAAAAAAUUCACAAGUGGAAUCUGUCAUCAAUGAUCCAUUUGAAUCCUUUGCCUCAUCCAAUAUCAUUGCAAGCAAUGGGAUCUCCACAAGUUUACCUGAUCCAAUUUCCUCACAGAAUUUUGCCAGUGAGCAGAUGCUGCAAAUCUCAGGGAAAUCUUCUGAUCCUGACAAUAUUCCCUAUACUGAUUUAUGCACAAGUGAUGAAAUUCAUAAAAUUUCACAAGUGGAAUCUGUCAUCAGUCAUCCAUCAUCAUCCUCUGGCUCUUCAGUUUCUAAUCCAGCUAGUGAUAGAAUCAUAAACAGUGUGAGGGACUCUCAAAACUCCCAUAGAGAAUUUUGUGGUGUGAAUUCAGUAGGGUUCUGGACAAAUGGUGGUCUUUUGGGACUUCAGCCAUCAAAACCUCCUGAUUUUACUGUAUCAACUACAGGGCAGGGCUCUGCAGCCAAAACUAGUGAGGCAUUUGGUCCUCAAAAUCUAACUGUUGUGGCUUUGCACAAUGGACCCAAAGGAAAUUCAAGAAAAGCUGUUGAGAAUGCAGAAAGUACUGAGAAGGUUCCUGGUUCAUGUAGUGAGAAAACUUCCCUUCCGAUUGCUGAUUUAGAUGCUAACCUUGAAAAACCUGAUACUUCUCAUCGUAAUAGUAGUCUUGAUAAUUUUAAUGGUGUUGGCUUGAGCUUAAACUCUUCAUUCUCAGACGGAAACAAGCACCCAGUCAAUCCUAAUGUUAGAGCUGCAUCUAUCGAAUCUGAUGAGGAGAAUGAUGACAACUCAUCUAGUAUGUUUGGACUUGGUCAUAAGUUACAUGUAAAUGGUUUUCACAGAAAAGUGUCGAUUAACCAUGACAUUGAAUCUGAACCAGCCACUUCUACUAAAACUGGGGUGUCUGAGCAGAGGAAUGGGCAACAGAGCACCUCAAAUCAGGAAAUUCCUUGGACAACCUUCAGUCAGCAGAAUGGAAAUGGAUCUCCUGUAAAUUCGCUUACUUCUUCUCCACCACUUGAACAUAUGAAAAUAUCUUUCAACCCCAUAGAUGGAUUUGAGACUUCUAAACUCAGAUUGCAAUUUCCUGAUGCGAACCAUUAUCAGGAAAGCGUUAGGGAUAUGUUUCCUGCUUUCCAAUUGGUCCCAGUGCCUGCCAUUCCCGUGCAUGAUGUUGCUUCAGACUCUGAUGAUGACACUUUCUGCAGAUCAGCCCCUUACAUGUCAGAUGAUUGUCUUAGUCAUUGCUCUGAGUCAAAUUCUGAGCAAUGGGAAUCUGGAGAAACCCCUGAAAGCAAGGACCCUGAGCUGUAUGAUGCAUUAAGCAGAUUGUCAUCAAUGGAAUCUAUUUCAAGCUCUUUACAAAUUAGGGAAGCUGCCAUCAAUAGUAUCCAUGUUAAUGGGGGAAACAAAAGUGUAGUUCAUGGGAGUGGUGCAGAACCAUCUCUAUUUGUGUUGCCUGAUCUCCCAAGUUUUGAUACUAUUAACCCUGUACUACAGGAUGAAACCAAAAGCAAUUCCAAUAAAAAAAAACAUCUAGAAUUGAAAAAUACGAUGGACCUCACAUCAGUACCUCCACCACCUCCUCCUGCACAAUGGCGGGUUUCAAAACCCUGCGUUGAUGAGGCCGAAGAAAGACAACAUGCAUUAUCAGAGUCACUCAGACAUGAGCUUGAUCUGAAACUUUUAGGAUCUACCGUCUCUCAGAAACCCAAAUCACCCUCAUUUAAUCAACAACAAAUAGAAGAUGCAAUUGCAUUAAAACCAGAAAAGAAGGUGGACGAAGAGAAGUUGAAUAGGCAGAAAGAGGCAAACCAGCAGAUUAGUGGCCAAGGGGUGGAUGAGAAGGAAGAAUUCUUGCAUCAGAUCAGAAGUAAAUCUCUUAACCUAAGACCCACGGUCACUGCAAAACCAUCUGGUACUUCUGGUGUCCCCACCAAUGUCUCAGUCAUCACGAUUUUGCAGAAAGCAAAUGCAAUCCGUCAGGCUGUUGGGAGUGAUGACGGUGAAGAUGAUGAUAACUGGAGCGACAAUUAAUUAUUUUGGAACAUGGAUGCAUAAGAUAAUUGCAAGUAAAUCCUGCCAGUCUCCAUUGAGUAUUUUUCACAAUUGGGUUUGGAGCUCUCCAUAUCUGUCUUUGAAUUAAAACCUCUUUUUGUUCGAGCCAUUGCCAUGGGUGGACAAAGUUGAGAUAUUGGUUCAACCAGGUUUGGCUUUGGUUACUAUGUGUUAACAAAUGUAUAAAUUUCUCACAAACAAAAGAUUGAAAAACAACAUGCAUCCAUCUAGAUUCUAGAUCAGGUUUAUCAACUUUGUUUUAUUAUAUUAAGUCUAUGGUUUUUGCUUUUGUCUAAACAAAA